CAGAGAGCCAGUCAAGUUACCUACCUGUGCCAACCAGAUGCAUGGAGGAAUGGGGAAGGGGAGAGACUCAGAGAAAUCUGGAAUCUUCCAACUGCCAACAGCCCUGCAGAAACACAUGGCAGCUAAGUACGUGGAGCAAAAACUACUAUCUAUACAAUGAAAACUUGAAGAAAAUGCAAUCGUAACACGAGCCUUCAAUACAGUUCACUCCGAACCUAAUCAUCAAGGGUCAUUGAACUCUCAGAAAAGAAUUAUGAUAUCUUCUAGCAAUGUGCCAAGUGAACCCUGGCAAGAGAAGAGCUCAUCACCAUACCAUUGGGAAGUCAGCUGUGUUAUGCUCAUAAAGAGAAUACAUUUCACUAAAUGAAA